UACGUAGGGUGCAAGCGUUAAUCGGAAUUACUGGGCGUAAAGCGUGCGCAGGCGGUUGUGCAAGACCGAUGUGAAAUCCCCGGGCUUAACCUGGGAAUGGCAUUGGUGACUGUACGGCUAGAGUGUGUCAGAGGGGGGUAGAAUUCCACGUGGUAGCAGUGAAAUGCGUAGAGAUGUGGAGGAAUACCGAUGGCGAAGGCAGCCCCCUGGGAUAACACUGACGCCUCAUGCACGAAAGCGUGGGGAGCGAACAGG
rnacentral:rRNA from 1 species